rnacentral:rRNA from 1 species
GAUGAACGCUGGCGGCGUGCCUAAUACAUGCAAGUCGAGCGAACAGAUGAGGAGCUUGCUCCUCUGACGUUAGCGGCGGACGGGUGAGUAACACGUGGAUAACCUACCUAUAAGACUGGGAUAACUUCGGGAAACCGGAGCUAAUACCGGAUAAUAUAUUGAACCGCAUGGUUCAAUAGUGAAAGACGGUUUUGCUGUCACUUAUAGAUGGAUCCGCGCCGCAUUAGCUAGUUGGUAAGGUAACGGCUUACCAAGGCAACGAUGCGUAGCCGACCUGAGAGGGUGAUCGACCACACUGGAACUGAGACACGGUCCAGACUCCUACGGGAGGCAGCAGUAGGGAAUCUUCCGCAAUGGGCGAAAGCCUGACGGAGCAACGCCGCGUGAGUGAUGAAGGUCUUCGGAUCGUAAAACUCUGUUAUUAGGGAAGAACAAAUGUGUAAGUAACUAUGCACGUCUUGACGGUACCUAAUCAGAAAGCCACGGCUAACUACGUG